UUUUCCAAGUGAAGGCUUUCCAUUAUUCUUCCUUUGCUUCACUAACCUUUGAAAGAAAUAAAAACCCGACUGUUCUUUCUCUCUUAUGGUUAUUUUAACUUCUUGGAUAGCAAUACUAGAUUCUGAAAAAUAAGAUUUUCUUUCAAAGAUGAAAAAUAUUGGUGUAUGUUUUAAGAAUGAAGAUUGAUUCUCAACAGCUAUGCUUCUUCAGUUUCUAGCUUUUCCAUUACAGGAGGGUGUUGAAAAUAUGGCAAAAUUUCGAUUCAAAGCC
rnacentral:lncRNA from 1 species